GACACUUUGGCCGAGUGGUUAAGGCGAUCGCUUGCUACCGAAUUUUCGAGCGGUUGGGUUUUCCCGCGUGUGUUCGAACCACACAGGUGUCG
rnacentral:tRNA from 2 species